UGGGUUGUGGCUCAGUGGUAGAGCACUUGCCUGGCAUAUGUGAGGCUCUAGGUUCGAUUCUUAGCACCACAU
rfam:Ictidomys tridecemlineatus contig059802, whole genome shotgun sequence.